UUGGCCCGCUACGGCCACGGUCACUCGGCCGUUCGGAGCUGCGGGGCGCACGGGGUUGAGAGAGCCGGCUCUAGGGUUCGGGCUGGGGCCUGAAGAAACGUUUUCUGGGGCGCACCGGACCCGGGAGUGAGGGAGGACAAGAAACGCCCCCAACUUGAUGUUUUGACUCUGCUGUCUGGACUCGCAAGGCUUGGACCGACCCCAAAGCCUGUGGCCCUGAAGACGUGGGCUUUCGGAUAGCCCAUGUGCAGGCGCUGCACCCCCACACCUAUCCAGGAAAAAUAAGGACUUCUGGCGUGGUUGUUGCCAAUCUGACCGUUCUCUACAAGGCGGGGCUGGGAAAGAAGCCGAGGGAGCUUGGAGAAGCGUCCUGAGUUGCCAUGGAAACAAAGCCCGCCGGCAGAGGUCGCCCUGGCCUAAAGGAGUCCGUUGAAAUUUGCCCUCAGGGAUUACUGGUGUUCACGGGAUCUUCAGAACAGGACUCCAACUUGGCCAAGCAGUUCUGGGUGGCCGCGUCGAUGUAUCCCACCAACGAAUCUCAGUUGGUGCUGUCCAGAGGUAGCAGUCAGCGUCUGCCGGUGGCCAGGGCCUCCAGGGGCGGUGCAACCGAGAGUCCAGACAUCACUGCUGAAACCCUAAAGACUCAGCAAUCUGAGGACAAAGAAAAGUAUCUCCAAAAGAAUACAUAUGACAGAACUGAGAAUGGAUUGGAAGUGGCCAGAGCGGAAGUGGGCGAACCAGAGUGGAAGCCAUUGCUAUCAUCCAGCUGGGAGGUGAUGGCUAAAAGGAGAGAUGAGAUUCUCCAACUCUUAAGAAAACAAAGAGAAGAAAGGAUCUCGAAAGAGCUGGUAUCCCUUCCUUACAAGCCAAAGGCCAAAGGACACAAAGCAAAAAAUAUUUGCAUCUCAAAAGAGGUCUGACUAGAAGAAGCAAUGGGUAAUCCAAAGAAAUCAAUAAUCAAUGAUGAAAUCUCAGAAGUGUCACUCUCAGGAAAGUGAUACCAGAGGCAGACAAGGAAGACCAACAGGAGGUCAAAGCCUUGGACUAACUUGAUGGACAAAUGGGAGAGGAUGGCUCACGUAGAUCUUUACAUUUGAAACAACCUUCUCUUAAGUCAGGAUCAUUCGGAUCACCUUGUUAAGAUAGACAAAGAAAUAAAAGUUAAAUGCGCAGGCUUCUAGGGAUGUUA